rnacentral:rRNA from 1 species
AUUGAACGCUAGCGGCAUGCUUUACACAUGCAAGUCGGACGAGUGGCGAACGGGUGAGUAACGUAUCGGAACGUACCCAGUAACGGGGGAUAACUGUCCGAAAGAACAGCUCAUACCGAAUAUUAUUGGAGCGGCCGAUGUCGGAUUAGCUGGUUGGCGGGGUAAAGGCGCACCAAGGCGACGAUCCGUAGCGGGUUUGAGAGGACGAACCGCCACACUGGGACUGAGACACGGCCCAGACUCCUACGGGAGGCAGCAGUGGGGAAUUUUGGACAAUGGGCGCAAGCCUGAUCCAGCCAUGCCGCGUGUCUGAAGAAGGCCUUCGGGUUGUAAAGGACUUUUGUCAGGGAAGCGGUACCUGAAGAAUAAGCACCGGCUAACUACGUGCCAGCAGCCGCGGUAAUAC